UUACGGAAAAAUCCAUAGUCAAUUCAGUGUAUAGAUGUAGGUAGUACAUUUCAAAACAUUGAUAGUUAUCAACAUCGUUUUGAAUCAUAAAUUGUUGAAUACAAACACAUACAGGUAACUGUUUUCAUGUACCAUUUAUAAUGUAAGUCAAGGACGCGACUAUGAGAUGCAAACUGUACAGAAACUGGAAGAACAUAGCUAUCAAGGAUUUGAUACGAUUUGUACAGGAAGUACAGAAGUGAUUAAUAGUGCCGAAUAUUGUGAAAUCGUACAAGCAUCUUCGCAAGAAGAACGCGGAGUAACUAACAGAGCUGCAGAGAAGGAAGGUUAAAAAUAUACAUUAUAAAA